AUCUAUGGCCGUGCCACCCUGAACAAGCCUGAUCCCAUCUGAUCUCAGAAGCUAAGCAGGGUUGAGCCUGUUUAGUACUUGGAUGGGAGACCACCUAGGAAGACCAGGUGCUGUAGGCA
rnacentral:rRNA from 1 species